rnacentral:rRNA from 1 species
UGGGGAAUAUUGCACAAUGGGCGAAAGCCUGAUGCAGCAACGCCGCGUGAGUGAUGAAGGCCUUCGGGUUGUAAAGCUCUGUCUUUUGGGACGAUAAUGACGGUACCAAAGGAGGAAGCCACGGCUAACUACGUGCCAGCAGCCGCGGUAAUACGUAGGUGGCAAGCGUUGUCCGGAUUUACUGGGCGUAAAGGAUGCGUAGGCGGAUUUUUAAGUGAGAUGUGAAAUACCCGGGCUUAACUUGGGUGCUGCAUUUCAAACUGGGAAUCUAGAGUGCGGGAGAGGAGAAUGGAAUUCCUAGUGUAGCGGUGAAAUGCGUAGAGAUUAGGAAGAACACCAGUGGCGAAGGCGAUUCUCUGGACCGUAACUGACGCUGAGGCAUGAAAGCGUGGGUAGCAAACAGGAUUAGAUACCCUGGUAGUCCACGCCGUAAACGAUGAGUACUAGGUGUAGGAGGUAUCGACCCCUUCUGUGCCGCAGUUAACACAAUUCAAGUACUCCGCCUGGGAAGUACGAUCGCAAGAUU